rnacentral:rRNA from 1 species
CUUUCAACAACGGAUCUCUUGGUUCCAGCAUCGAUGAAGAACGCAGCGAAAUGCGAUAAAUAAUGUGAAUUGCAGAAUUUAGUGAAUCAUCGAGUCUUUGAACGCACAUUGCGCCCCUCGGUAUUCCGGGGGGCAUGCCUGUUCGAGCGUCAUUACACCCCUCAAGCGUAGCUUGGUAUU